GGACGUCACCGGGCGGGCCCCGCCGCGCCGCGCGGCCGCACCUCUGCGGGAGCCGGCCUCCUGCCGUGGGCCCCGCGCGCGCUUGGGGGAGGCGGCGGCGUUCCUGCGGAGCGAGUCUCGGCGGAGGCCGCGGACCGGAGGCCCCCCCCGCCCCGGAGGCGUGGGUGCCGGGCCGUCCGCGCCCCGAGGACGCGGUGGGAGAGGAGAGGUCGCUGCGGACCGGGAGCUGGGGUGUGGGGGCGGCUGGGGGACCCGAGACGGAGCGCAGCGAGGGGUGCUGGAAGCGGCUGGAGGAGGGCGUCGGCGUGGCGGUGUGUGUGUCCAGAGCACCUGCGUGCAUGGGGGCAUUUCCGACGGGGAAGACUGGCUUGGGUCGAAGCUGGGGGAUGGGACAGAGUUCUGACCGGCAGAAUCUGAGACGCCCACCGAGGACGUGUGCGCAUGAGUGUUAGGAAGACAAAGGACCGCAGACUUGCGAGCCCUGGUUGACCACGGUCUCUCGGCUCAGGGCGGGAUGACAUCGAGAGUUCGGGGUGGAAGCGCGGAAACCUGCCUAGCGCUCCCGCAGAAGGACAGGGGCUUUCAGGCUGGAAGGCCUCCCCUGGACCCGGCUGCGGAAAGGGACGUGCCCGAGGCCCUGGAGGGCCAGCAGUGUGGGCCGGCCGGGUUCCCCACCCCCUCGCCUGGGGUUCUGAGCUCCUGACUCACUGUCCUGUCCAAUACCAGUGUUGCAGGAACUCUUAAUGACUCCAGAAUCCACAUGGGUGAUCCUUCCAGUGCCCCCCACUGCCACCCUCUCUUAAAGCGCACCUGGGAUUUGUUUUCAUCAGAAAACAUAAAGGCCAAUUGGCUUUGUUCAGUUAUGCUAACGUGAAAUA